AUGAGCUUAAUGAUAAAGAAAUUGUAUUCUCAUGAGAGUCAAAGGUGUAGUUUUAAGCACAGUAGACAGUGUCAUUAGCUAAGGGCAUUCUAAUAUAUGUGUGCCUUCCUCACAGGUGGAUUUCAUUAGUUGUGUGAUAAAUACUAGUUUUAGAAUAGAUAGCAAACAGAAUUUCAUGUGGUAAAUGUUUAAUAUCUUGUAAACACACAUCCUACACAAACUAAGGACUAAUUGUAUAACUAAAAAAUCAUGCCUUUAAUUGAAACAUCACCUUUCAUUUCACAAUAGACAAGAUGUGUGUCAUCAUAAUGUCAAUUUUCAUGAAAGAUAUAACCAUUAAUUUACCACUAUGAUGUAUGAGUCUGAUGAAGUUCUAAGUCAUUUUCCUAGAGAGUGCAAUUUGGUAACACUGCAAUACAGAGUUUACAGGUUUUGGAAGGGUCAAAUAACUAAGCAGCUCAACUCUGAAUGAAGUGAAAAUUCUUUACAGAAGAAUAAGAGACCUCUUGUUCUUAUUAUCUCAUUAUUACCUCAUUCUCUUAUGAUAACAAGUAUUUCAUUUAAGUAUAAUCCUUAAAAGACCACUUCAGUCCUAUUAGGACAUGUAGUAGAUGUCCUAAAUGAAAAGGCAAGACCAGGAACAAGAAGGAGGGGGAGAAGAAAGAGAAAGAGAGGAAAUAGGAUGAAAGGAAAGAAUGAAGGAAGGAAUCUAAAAAUCCUAAAUGGUGUGGGAAAAAAAAAACCACACUCUACAGAGAAAAUUACAAUCUCAUUGUUACAAGGAAAAAAUCUAAGGGAGAAAAAGUAAUGGUAAGACAGAUAAGAAUCUAUUGACAGCAAUUCCAUGGCUUUUCACUCAGCACCGGAACAAGUGGAAGCAGGCCAGAGCCAAUACCAAACUGUCACUUUCUGUUCUUAAUGACCAGCAUGAAAUCUUCCACUCUCUGAUUGUUAGUUUUGAGUGAUUUCAGGUUAAAUUUGAGGUUCACAGUUGCUUUGCUGUCCACUUCUCUGGUUCUAAAAAGCACGUCUCACAUGUACAACCAUGGAUGAGUCACUUACAUCUUCCAAAAUGUAGUUGAUCUUACCUAAAAUGAGAAUAAAAUUAACAAUGAAUUACUAUACUUUAUUCAUAAUAAGAUUAUGUAUAACAUAUGUGACUAUAUAGGAUCAUAUUCUCUACAUAUAUGCCUUCUUACUAUAUACACAUUUAAAUAAUAAUUUUAUUGUCUGACACCACCACUGCACCUAACAUCUAUUUUUGGACCAUUGUCAAAAGAAUGACACACAGGAGCAGUGCCUCUGGGAACUGGGAGUGGCUCUAGUAAAAGGCAGAGGGCCUUAUACCUCAAGUAUAUUUUGUGCCUGGGAUUAUUCUUAGACAUGAUUUUGUCCCUCUUGUGACAAAUAUUUACAUUCAGUUUAUAAAAUAUAUUUAUUUUAUUUCUGUUGGAUGUCAGAACUUAGCUAUAGCUCUCAAUCUGGUGACAGGAUCCUCUUGAUGCUGUCCUCCAUGUGUGGAUAUGGCCUUUGCCUUGCUUUUGUAAUUUUCCAGAUAUAAUUUGUAGUAUAUACCAGGCAUUGUGUUUAUAUUGGUCUCUCUCUAUAAAACUUCUGAGAAAAGGCUGCUCUGUCAGCAUAUAUAUUAUAGGUUUACUGGUGAUUAUUUCACAUGUUUUUCUGACCAUGAUUUUUUGAACUCAACCUUCUUUGAAUCAUUCCUUUCUUUUUUUACAUUCAUGUAUAAAAGUACACUGUAACUGGGGUACACGUGUUUGCAGCACUAUAUUGUAGUACAUACCAUUCUUUCUGGUCUUGAAAUCCCAGGUCGAUCAGACAGAUUUGCAUAGGUUGGUGAAAGUGAACAAUCUAUAACUCAAUCAUCACCAAACCAAUUGCUAUCACUACCAUCCUUCUUCUCCUCACCAUCACCACCAUAAUUACCACCGCCACCAUAAUUGCCAGACUUAUUAUUCUAAUCGCUGUCAUUACCAACAUCAGCACAUCACCAUCACCACAACCAUCACAAGCAACAUCACCAUUUCUAUCACCGUCGUCAUUACACACCUCAUUUUCUAUACUUAAGACAAAGAAACUUGAAAAUUCAUCUGAUCAGACAACAAAGAGAAGACGGAAAAGGCACCAGUCUACUCUAAUGUUUUCUAGUCAUUUAGCAUAUGCAAAACAUUGAAUACAAUUUUAUUCAAAAGGAUUUGAAGUCUUUGAGACUUGAAAGCAGAAAUAGACUUUUCAAAGGAGGAUUUGGCUUACGUGGAGCCCCCCGUCUUUCAGUCCAACAGUACCAGACUAUCAUUUUCAUCCCCACCAAGCAUGCAUGGGUGACUACCCAUGUAGUGUUUUCAAGGCUUGUUUGAUGAGAGACUUGGAUUUAGGUCCUCAGGAAAGAAAGCUGGGGCUCUGUGGAGGAAAAAAAAUGUAGUACAAAAUACUAGACAGCUGCAAGCUUUCAUGAGCAUUAAUUUUACCGAAUAUUGCAAAUUUUAAAUGCUUAAAAUAUAAGCAUGACAAAUAGAAAAGCACAAACUGAUCAUUAGGAUUAUAAUGUGUGUGUGAAUGUGUGAUCAGAAUAGGCACACGGCAAAUAAAGCACCAGAUAAAUGCUAAAUACUUCAUUCACUGCUACAAUAAUGCGUCAUAUGGCUGAAGUUCUUAAGUACAUUAUGUUCUCUGCUGCUAGGAAGCCAUUAAACCCUUUUAUAGAAUUAAAGAGAAAACCCAGGGUUGAAAAUUAGGGAUCAGAGGUGGGGGGUGACUAGAGAUAAAGACAAAUGAUGGGUCAUUUUUCUCAAAAGCUGUAAUGAUGCUCUGACAAACACCACACUUUGUCCUGAAUUCUGCUUUAAGCACUGCACCAUGCACCAUGAAAAGAAUUGAUUAUUACCACUGCAUCCAUGAUGUUGGACUGUUCACACAGCAUCAUGACCCAGAGUGAACUGGAGUCAUUUUUGAGCCUCCCUUUAUCAUUCAUGUUGUCGUAAAGCCUCGAAGACUGGGUCACCUUUUUUCCAGUGACAAUCUAAUAGUUUAGACAUGGAGAUCCUACCCACUCUACAAGGUUGUCUAUUUUAAAAUAUCCAGUUAUCUACUAAGUGUGUGUGUGGGUGGGUGGGUGGUGGGAACCAUGCUUCCUAAGUAAGUGUUAUAGCUCUGGGGUGAAGGAUUUUCCCAAUGUCUAUGUGGCACUUCUGCCUCGAAAAGUUUCCCCAAUGUAGGGGUUACAGCUCUGAAGGAAAGGGUAUCUGGCAGUCUGGAGCCAAUGAAUGCU
rnacentral:lncRNA from 1 species